rnacentral:tmRNA from 1 species
GGGGGCGAAUUGGGUUCGACGCGGGCCCGCAAGCUAUUGGUGCAUGCCGAGGUGCUGGGCACCCUCGCGAAACUCCCAGCAGGCAAAGACAACUGCCGACAACGAAGAGUUCGCCGUAGCCGCAUAAGCCGGCUACCCCGCCUCCCGAGCUGUCCGUGGCGAAGGACCAGGCGGGUCGACCGACACGGGAUCGCGGUGGCGCCCCGCCCGGGGCAACCCGCCGUUAAACCAAACCGGGCUCACCGGUCACGACCCCGCCGCUCGGGCCCGUAACCGGAAAAUGAAAGGGCGGCUAAGCAUGUAGAUCCAGUAGUGGACGGUUCGCGGACGCGGGUUCGAGUCCCGCCGCCUCCACCA